rnacentral:rRNA from 1 species
AUGGUGAUGGGAUAUUCCCCCGCUGAGUCUGUGGCCAUUGCCAACAGACUUAAUUGCCGCAUGGGCUCUUUCCCCACUACCUACCUUGGGACGCCCAUUAGUGACUCGCACCUCUCUGUCGCAGACCUACGCCCCUCCGUGACCAAGCUCCAGACCAGAUGCGAGCCCUGGCAGGGGAGGUGGCUUUCCAAGGCGGCCUGGACUAUCCUUAUCAACUCCUUCCUCUCCAGCCUCCUCUUGUUUCUUAUGAGUUUCUACAGCCUCCAUGAAUCUCUCCAUAAGGAGAUCGCCAAAAUCCAGUCCCGAUUCUUCUGGGCUGGCGAGCAUGGCAAGCAGAAGUAUCACAUGGUCAGCUGGCCUGACAUCUGCAAGCCCAGGGAGCAGGGUGGAUUGGGCAUCAUGUGCUCUAAAUGGAUGAAUAUUGCCCUUCUAUCCCGGUGGCUGUGGCGUAUCACGCAGGGUCAUGGUGGCCUCUGGCUGGACAUUAUCCGGAAUAAGUACCUGCAUGGUCAACCCCUUGCCUUCUGCCAGAAAUCGGGAGGUUCUCAGUUCUGGCAGUCCCUCGUCCAGCUUCUUCCAGUGCUCCGCAUUGGUACCUUUAUCUCGAUGGGGUCCGGCCUCUCGACGCUCUUCUGGUUUGAUCGCUGGGGCGGCGACUCUCCCUUUGCGGCCCGCUUCCCCACCCUCUUCUCUAUCGCUGUCGUCCCCAUGAUCUCUGUUGAUAGGGCCCUUCUUGACUUAGAGCGCCUCACUUUCCGUCGGCCAUUUGGGCCGGCGGAAUCCGCCGCCUGGCGUGAGUUGCUUGACUGCGUUGCUCUGCAUGAGCCGGUGGUGGAUGGGGAUCAGGAUCUUGUGCGCUGGCACCUGGAGCCAUCGGGCCAGUUCUCUACCAAAUCGCUAUAUUUGGCCAUUGCCCCCUCCUCCGCUCCUCUCCCCUAUCGAUGGUGUGGUCCGUCCGCGUCCCCCUGA